GCGACCCCAGGUCAGGCGGGACYACCCGCUGAGUUUAAGCAUAUCAAUAAGCGGAGGAAAAG
rnacentral:rRNA from 1 species